AUCACUCCACAAUGAGAUCUCACUUCCAAUUCCAAGCGAUUAAGCGAGAGAGCGAGCUAGAGAGUCCGAGGGAGUAGAGGAUCCCUAGGUUCCGUCGCUUGCGUCUCUGAGUAGAUGACAUUCGAGAAUGGAGCCCCAUGGCAAAAUACGAACCCUAAAUCAUUUUCAUUGCCUUGUCCGGAGCCGGAUCCGGAUCCGAACAAGGCAAUGAUUUAGGGUUUCGGAUGGUGCAAAGAGAAUAGUGAGAUCGUUGGUCUCUGCGUCGACGAUGAAGAUGACAACAAUCCAGAACGUAGCCAUGUCGCGCGGAUCAGGAUCUGUCUCAGAUUACGAUUCUAUUAUGGAGCUCGCCUCGUAUGAUGUGGUGGUUUGCCGGCCUUCUCGUCAAUGAUGCUUAUAAUGCAUGAAGUCUCACAUUUUGAUGUCCAGUCGUGCAUCCAAGCAGGUUAUCUUACCUGACGGUCAUGCAUCCACUUUUAGCACACCCAUUCUCUUUCCCACACCUUAGUUUAUCUCUUGGUCAUACAUUUAACUGAGCUCACUCAGCCUCAUUGACAUUCGAGUUUGGUUAUGGGAUGUUACAUUUUACAGAUGGGUUUCCUUCAAACAGUGUAGCAGUUGCUUAACUUUGUUUCACAGGCGUUUUUCAAAUUUCCGUUAUUGUUUGCAGUUUCUUUUCCGCAUUGCAUGGUCUCUGUUUGUGUGUGUGUGUGUGUGUGUCUCUCUCUCUCUCUCUCUCUCUCUCUCUCGUCUCAUCCGUCUCCUCUUAUCUACUUUCAUAUGUUCCGGUUGAGGCGGUAGGAAAAUGAAGGCAACGGAUGAAACCCAAAUGGGAAAGAGGAUUGGAGUUGAAGAACGGCUGGCAUGGUUUUUCCAA